rfam:Nematostella vectensis strain CH2 x CH6 NEMVEscaffold_285_Cont22399, whole genome shotgun sequence.
CCUUCGAUAGCUCAGUUGGUAGAGCGGGGGACUGUAGAUUUAUAACUGUGAUCCCUCAUGUCGCUGGUUCGAAUCCGGCUCAAAGGA